UACGGAGGGUGCAAGCGUUAUCCGGAUUUACUGGGCUUAAAGGGUGCGUAGGUGGGCAGGUAAGUCAGUGGUGAAAUCUUCAAGCUUAACUUGGAAACUGCCAUUGAUACUAUUUGUCUUGAAUUAUCUGGAGGUAAGCGGAAUAUGUCAUGUAGCGGUGAAAUGCUUAGAUAUGACAUAGAACACCCAUUGCGAAGGCAGCUUACUGCGGAUAUAUUGACACUGAGGCACGAAAGCGUGGGGAUCAAACAGG
rnacentral:rRNA from 1 species